CCACGCCGUAAACGAUGAGUGCCAGAUGUCGGGGGUCAAACCUCGGUAUCGCCGUUAACACAAUAAGCACUCCGCCUGGGGAGUACGCACGCAAGUGUGAAACUCAAAGGAAUUGACGGGGGCCCGCACAAGCAGUGGAUUAUGUGGUUUAAUUCGAAGCUACGCGAAGAACCUUACCAGGUCUUGACAUCGAGUGACGAGCAAAGAGAUUUGCUUUUCCUUCGGGACACGAAGACAGGUGGUGCAUGGUUGU
rnacentral:rRNA from 1 species